CAGGUGGUAUAAUAAAGGUCAAGGAACUGGACUGGCUGAAGGAUGACUUUUGCACAGAUCCCGAGGUCCCCUUCAGUUGGUCAGAAGAGGAAAUCUCUGACUUGUACGAUCACACCACCAUACUGUUUGCAGCCGAAGUGUUUUACGACGACGACUUGACCGAUGCUGUGUUCAGAACUCUCUCCCGACUCGCCCACAGAUUCAAGAACGCCUGCACGGCCAUCCUGUCGGUGGAGAAGAGACUCAACUUCACACUGAGACAGUUGGAUGUCACAUGCGAAGCCUACGAUCACUUCCGCUCCUGCCUGCAUGCGCUGGAGAAGCUCGCAGACAGCAGACUGCGCUUCGUGGUGGAGCCCGUGGAGACUUCCUUCCCGCAGCACCUCGUCUACGAGCGCAUCCGGCAGCUGGUAGGUCUGCGCCACAG